UGCUAUUUACUUGUUGGGAUGAUGACCAAGGAAUUGCUGUUAUGUGUAUGUGUGUGAGAAGAGGAGGGGGAAUGUCAGGAUGCUUUCCUCUUAACGAAAAUCAAAUAGAGUUUUUGCUCUUGACUGGGGACACUGUCAUAGUUUACUAUUAGAAAAUGUAUUUCCCACUCUUAUUAACAACCAAGGAAAACAUGACUUUAAAGAAAUUGAUGCCUCGCAAGCACAAGAUCCUGAGUUCAACCCUGUACCAAAAGAAAUUGAAAUAUUGUUUUUAAGGCCCUUCCAAGUUUCCUAAGUCAUUAAUAUUAACCUGACUGAAACUAGAUUUAAACAAUAAUCUUAGUUUACAUUUUAAAUAAGCAAAUACCCUACCCAGGUCUGUCCUUUCUAAUGAUUCUACCCAACUUUCUGAAUAUUUUAGAGCAUUAAACAGAGAGAUGUCUAUUGAAUGAAAACCAGUUAUGCAGGCUAUAGAAUUCCAAGGCCUGAGUUCCCCAGUUUCCUUAGGGACUUUCCUCCAUUCCCAUAGCACACACAUUGCCGCCACCACUACCACUGCCACCACUGUCACUUUCUGGAAACAUCAACAACUCUGAAAAUAGGCAUUAGGUUGAAGCCUGUUAAGGCCUCUAGCCCUGUAGGAUGUUGACUUGCUUCCUCAAACAUUGCCCCGUGUUCAAACCUCAGCUAUAUUCUUCUACCUACUUGGAAACUACUUGAGUAAUAUUUCAAUGGGUCCCAAUUUGAAGACCAUUUUCAUAUUUAAUUUUUUAAAUCAGGUAUUUGUCAUUCUAAGGCAUAUCCCCUAUGUAAGUCUCUAAAUAUGUUUAAGUUAAACAGAAACAACUUUGGAGCUGAGAGCACAGAAGCACUUAGGAUUCAUGGCAGUUUAAGAAGUGAGGCAAACAUUUGAACAUCCAGAUUUUUAUCCCAGAUUUCCUGAAGACCAGGUAUAAAUAGCAAGCAAACCACAAUUUCCAUGAGCUUUGUAGAGCACUGAUACAGAACUCAGCAUCUAUGUCAAUGUCUAGCAUUAUUUACAGCUGGGUUUUUAGGAGAGCAACAGGAAAUGUUUGGCAGAUUUGUGAGGAUAGUUUCAUUAGGUAGACUUCCUUUUUUUUUCUUGGUCAUUGCAUUAGAUAUUUCCCUUUUCAAAAAUAGACACUUUCCAUAAAAAAUAUAGGUUCCAAGGUUAAAGGUUUUAAUAGAAAAAUGUGCAUAUGUCUAAAGAUAUCUCUGCAGAAAUAGUCCCCACAAGUCAGGGAAAUAAUCUAUACAUACUGUUAGUAAUAUAAAAGAUGAAGAUUAUGAUAGAAAGCAUUUGCAAUGUUUUAAGCAUAUCCAUGUUAUUUCUCAUCUUCUUAGUUUCAGAUUCACUAAUUGGUAGUAAAUUUCUACUUUGACUCCCUGCAAGGCAAGCUUAACUUAUGAAGACAAAAAAAAUUUGUUUUAUUAUAUUAGGACAGCCACCUUCACAACCACAGAAAUUAAAAUGAAGGAAAAAAAUGAGCAGGAAGCAUAAAGAAGAGAUUGAUCUGCUGUGGUAUUCUGUUAGCAUGGCAUUAUCUUGUUUCUAUAACUUGAGCCAGAAUGUGGCCAUAUGAAAUGACAUAGCUGUUACAUUUACUUGUACCCUCUACUAUGAAGUAGUAAAAGCAGGAAACCCUUCUCAUCCUCCCUCCUAGCCCCUAUCCCACACAUAUAUACAUCGCAUGUAAAAGGCCUACAUAGCGUACUUCAGGUGAACCUUAAUAUUUAUAUGGUUUUAAUAUACAUGGAAAGCAAAAUGAGAAAGGGUAAAAAAAAUAAAGAGCCAAUUUUUUCUAGCCUGAAAACUCCUUCCCCAAAGAACUGAAUGCUUCUAGAAUUAAUUGGCCCUUGGAGCAAGAGACCAAAACCAAGUGCCCACUUGCAGUGUUCUAAAGUUGGACCUCUGUGUGGCAGUCAGGAAGAGUGAUGCAAUGGUGGCCCUGCAUUCAUUGCCAGGAAACAUUCAAUACUUUGUCCUUUUCAAACCCCAUGGGAGUAGAGCCUUCCUAAUUAAUUCUCCAUUCUGAAGCUCUCACUCUGCUAUGGAUUUUGUUCUGAAUAACUCAAAAGUUUCCAGAAACAAUUAUCAGAGAGCUCAAAAAAGAGCACCUGUGUUCCUGAUGUAAAGUAUAUGAGAGAGAUUGUUCUCUAGUCCUAAUUGCAGCAAGAUAUCUUGUCUUUAAGAUAAAAUUUGUCAAAUAGAGAAACAAGCCCAGGGUUAACUCAGUGAGCUUCUAUUGGCAUUGAGCUGAAUUAUUUACAAAUUACAGCACUUUAGCCCAGGAUUUUUCAACCUUUUGGCCACUAGACAUAUGUACACACAUACUCACUAUACCUCCAUCUCCCAACAGCUUAAAUGUCUACAGGUCAUUUUUUACCAAUGACCUAAGUUUUUAUUUAAAAGAACAAGACAGGUUAAAAAAAAAAAAGUGUAUACUUGUGUCAAUUUGUAAAUCCUGGACAUCAUUUCUUGUUUUCUUUGAUGUAAUUAAAUGAGAAAUUCAAGCAUGAUUUAAAUUCCCUGCUGCUCAUCACCUGGCCACCUCCAUUCCUCAAAAUAGGUUUAUGAAUAAAUCUUGACUACUUUAGGCAGAUGCUUCCAAGAAUUUUGGUGUUGGUACCUCCCUUUCCUUUUCUAAUGUAAUUGAGAAAUCAGAUUGAAAAGUGUUUCACCUGAAUAACCAUUCAUGCAGCAUUUCAGGCUUUGGGAAUAUGAAUGGAUAUAGAAGGUAUGUGAGAUAUUGCUAAGCCCUAAGAUGAUAGUUUAACCACUAGCUUCACAUCUAUGGGCUCCAAAGAAUUACUCUAAUACAGUGAAUUUCUUCAUUGUUUUUACCCCUUCUGAACAGCUUCUACUGCCAUGAUGAACUUCUAAUGAUUUUAAGAAGCUUCAUUUCCCCUUUGGGUCACUUGAAGUUCAGUAUCCCUUUGCUACCUGGCAAAUAAGUGCUAUGAUUUUUAUUUGGAAAAGGGGCUAUGAUGAUGCCUUCAGUUGUAGUGGAAAGCUGCAGCAUUGUGAUGAUAAAUGUGAAAUAUAAAUUCAACAAAAUUAAAACAAAUUAUAUAAGAUAUCAAUACAUUCAAUAAGCAAAUGUAUAUUUCUCUUAAUUCUUACCCAGAGUAAUUAUACAUUUUUUGCUUCUUUAGCACAUUUGUCAUUUUUAUGAGCCAAUUUAAACUUCCAAUUUUAACUACAUCUUUGCUGACAGUAGACUUUCAGAUAUACAAUGGUCUUCUUUUUAAAAAGCAAAAUGCAUUCCAUUAUUAGCUGAAUUUCCAUGAAACAACAUUAAUUUUGGAGUGUCAUAGUUCAUAAUCAGUGGUUCAUUGUGAUGUGUUUUAUCCAACAUGUAUCUUAGUGCAUGGUUGAGGUUGUCCUACAAUCUUUUAGUUAACUGUGUAGUACUUGUGGAAUUGUAUUAAAAAUGUGUCCAAACUCUACCAAGCUGAGGUAGCAACUGCAUGUGAAUAACUGUGACAUCAAACUUGAAGUCAUGACUGAAACUCUUCUAGACCAAAAAGUUAGUCUGUUGAUAACCUUAAUAGAACUGUUAGAAUGCUCAAUCAGAUAUUUUGGAAAGGCGUACUUGGGAGCAAGCCUGUCUGCCUGACAAACCCUUUCUCUCGAAAUGACAGAUCACAUGAUGGGUCCCUGGAACUCUGUUCCUUGGUGUAUAUUGAAUAACUAGGCCCCUGUGGCCUUGCUAACCACUCUCUGAUAAAAGCAUCCUCUCUAGCGCUACUCACCUCUGCCUGUUUGUGAACACUACCUGGGCUAGUUGGUCAAUAAAAUAGUGAUAUCUUCCUGGUGUACUGAACCUUUCAAUAUUAGGAUCAACUUUUUGAAUUGCUUUAAAUUUUACAUAAAUUUUUUACUAAAGUCAGUGGCAGAUAUAAACCUAUUUUAUGCCCCGAAUCCAUUGGAACAAAUUGGAUAAAAGAUAAUAACCAAAUCAUCCCUGCAAAACAUGUCUUUACCCCUAAAAGGCUGUAGGUUCCAGAAAUACAGUAUCCCUUAAGGGGGCACAAACAGGUUGAUGGGAUUUAUCUAAAACGUAUCUAGCUAUUGCUAUUGGUAUUUCAUAAAUAAAUGUAUUUUUAAAACCUUCCUAGAAAGGCUCGACACGCUAGUCAGAUCAUAUUUCCCUUUGGUAGAUGGAAAUAUUGUGCUCGCUUCAGCAGCACAUACACUAAAAUUGGAACGGUAGGUGGAAAUAUUCACUCUUGGCCCACACAAUGCUGCAACUCCCAAAACACACUUACAAACAAUGAUACUUUUUUUAGUGAAGGGAAAAUUCCAUCUAUGGUGCUUUCUCAGUGCUGAGGAAAAGGGAGCAUUUUCCACGUGCCAACUGGAACUCACAUCUUGUUUUAAAAGGACCAUGAAAUAGAUUCUUCACACUGAUUUGUUUAGUCCAGGUCUGUGCAUGUAAUGAGUCCCCAUUGAAUCGAGAGGGUGGAGAGAAAACACAUUUUGCUAACAUUCUAGCUAGCAGAAAUGAAUGGUUUCAAAACCUCACAAAGAGCUUGAGUGUUAAGAUCAGAUCAUUUAGCUCAUGGACAAAUUGAACUUUCACUUUGUGUUUCUCUUCCCUAUUUCCUGAUUUUUUUUUAAAUCAUUUCAUUUUUAAAGUACUAUCCUCAUGGAAUAGCAGGACCAAGAAUACGGAAUGAGAUUUAAAUUUCACCAUUUAUCUCCUUUCAGCAGCUAUUGUUGGAGUUGGGAGUUACCAAUGUAGUUCCAUUUACAUGUGUUCAUAUUUUCCUUCAUUGUGGACAACUGAGACUUGGCUGUGGCUUUAUUGCUUCAUAGAAUAUUUCCAUAUCAUGUUGUUUGGAGCUAAAGAUUGCUUAGUUUCAUGAAUGCUGUUCUUAUAGAUGCAGGUGGUGUAUGAAACACACAGACAAGUGGCCUUUCAGGGACAUGAGCAUGACCUACAUCUGACUGUUGGUUCCAUAUCUUUUGUCAAAGUGAAGUCGGGGGAUGUCUGCUGUGUCACUAUCAUGACCUUGCAUGCAUUGUCUCAUCAUUCCUGAGAGGUGCGCUGAAUGACAACUGUCCUGUAAUUCCUGUUAAUAUAUUGUUAAUGUCAGAUGUGACGUGAUACAGUUGGACUGUCCAAAUGUACAACUAUUUAAUGAUGUUUGUAGAACUGAAAUGUCUUAAAUGUUGCAUGAAAUAUGUUCUAAAAAUAGAUUUUUUUUCUAUUUUUCAACACCUCAGAAUUGAGGGUUCAUGGGCCAAUAAGUGCAAUAUUUAAUGACUUACUCAGUGUAUAUAAAUUAGUGUGAAAGAGUGAAUUAUAAUGAAUGUGUGAGAUACUUUGAUGGCUGUGUGCUUAUUCAAAUGAAUUCUUGUAGCCGUAUCUGUCUAGUGGUGCAAUUUAUACAGUAAAUAUCUUAUUGGUGUCAUGUGAAACUCCUCUGUGCCUACUCUAAAGUAUUUUUUUUUCUUAGAAGACCAAAUGUUUAGUAUCUACAAAUAUGUGUCAGUUUUACCUAUUGGAAUUGUGAGUUUUAUUUUCCAAAAGAAUGACUGUGAGCUUAUUUUAUAAGAGCAUUCCCUGCUAUGAUUCAUAAUUCCCCUUAAGCUUCUUAUGAGUGUACUAAGCAACUAAUUUAGAUACCUAAGAAAAAUAUGCAUAUAAGGAAGUCACUUUUUUUCUUCUCAGAAAUACUGAUCACAUGUUGUCUACUAAGAAUUUCCAUUCUUGUGAUUGUAUGUAUAUUUUAUUGUUAUUCAACUUUGUACUUUGUUUCCAAAUUUAACACUGUCAACUUUGGGAAUCUUAACAUAUCAGUGUCUUUUUAGAUUAUAGCUGAUGUUAUAUUCACUUUUGAUUCUCAGUUGUCCACACUGGUGAUAUAGAAGAAAAGUCAAUGCCUUUAAUUCAUUUUGGCAUGUCAUCAUAACUUCAUAUAUUCAUCCUUGAACCCCUUUGGUUAAGCCCACAAUCGUUGUCCUGAAACUUCACUAAGAUGCAAAAAUCAACAAAUUAAGCCUAAUUUCUAGAUUGCUAAAAACUAUACAUAAUUGUGUAUAUAAAGGUUAAUGUGAGUCAACAACUUUAAAUUCCUAUUUGUCAUUUCCACUUUCAAGGUAAAGUCUCAUUUGAACAUUUUAUUCUGUUGUUGUGGGGUUUUCUUUAAUUUAGUUAACAGGUUAAGCCUAGGAAGAAAAACAAGUAGCAACUUAUUCACUAUUAAUGAUGGAGCACAGUUGGUUCUAGAUGCCCAUGGAUAUCUGUACAUGUUACACAACGUUCCAUUCUCUCUACAGCACUUGACUGGAAAUUGACAAGUGAGGAUGUGCCAAUCCUAUGAAAUGGCUCUGGACUACAUGGGCAAUGUCUGGCCCAAACUUAACUGUGACUGAAAGUUGCACUCAGCUCUCUAAACCCAAUGAAGAGGUCAAGGGAAGAUGCAUAAGACGGAGAUUAGUGAUAACUUUGUGCCAAACUUUUUUAAAUGGAAAGGAAAAACAUAAGCAGGUAGCCAACGUUAGAAUGAUAAUUUAAAUGUGGUUAAAUGAAUGUUUGUUGUCACAUAAAUAUUGAAUGCUAUGUACUCAUUACUGUGGGAAUCAAUAUGGAAGAGGCAUGGCUCCUAUCCCUAAUGGGAGUGAGGAAAAAAUGCAAGAUAUACUUUAAGUGCUAGGUUAUGUCAGAAUAUAGGAGCAUAGAGCAGGGGACCUGUAGGAACUGGGAGAGUGCAGGGGAGCUCCACUGAUGUGGUCAUAUAUAAUCCCAGAAAGAAUUAGACAGUGAGGAGAUUGUGCCUGGGCAGAUAAGUGGGAGAGACCACAGUACAUUCUCAUGAAUGGAAGGGGAUUUGGCAACUAUAGAUCAUUGUUUUUCUCAAAACACCAGAGUGACCCUCUGUAAACCCUCUAAUUAGCCCAGCUUAGCUCCCUGCAUUUUGGUCUCCAUGUGGAAGACAAGCUGCUAUUUCAUCAUGCUCAUCUGUGUUGAGCAGCCUCACAAUGAACCCUGAAACCCAAAUUGCUUGCUUAGCAACAUUAGAGCAAUUUAUGUAGAAAUUUGACAAAGUACCAAACCAUGAGACAUUAUUUAGUCUAAUGUCACCCAGGCAGAUAUGUACCCAGAAUUUUUUCUGAAGCUCCAUGUUUCCUAAGAAGGAAAGUAAGAAACACAUUGGAAAUGACACUUCUUUGUAACUGGGAACUUCUGGCUCCUUCUCAAUGACCGCACUGUGGCUCUCUUCUUGAGAAAAUAUCGACAACAGCUUAAUGCUUUCAUAUAGUGAUUGUGAUAUUUAGUUGAAAACUACUGCUGCAUAGCCAAUAUUGUGACUCUUAAUGUGUCCACAGGAGCUCUUGUCUGGGUUUAAAGCUAUAAAGUGUAUUCACAUUGUGAAGUUUUAUCUUUAUUGAAAUUAAUUGUGUAAAAAUGGUAUGUGCUCUAAUAGCUAUUCAGUUUUUAUGUGAAUUCUGUAUGGAAAGUGGUUUUUGUUCUUUGAGUUUAUCUUGUAUUAUUUU
ensembl:lncRNA